rnacentral:rRNA from 1 species
UACGUAGGGGGCAAGCGUUGUCCGGAAUUAUUGGGCGUAAAGGGCGCGUAGGCGGCUUGAUAAGUCAAAGGUGAAAUCCCUCGGCUCAACUGAGGAAUUGCCUUUGAAACUGUCUGGCUCGAGGCCGGGAGGGGGUAGCGGAAUUCCCAGUGUAGCGGUGAAAUGCGUAGAUAUUGGGAGGAACACCGGUGGCGAAGGCGGCUACCUGGACCGGUUCUGACGCUGAUGCGCGAAAGCGUGGGGAGCAAACAGG